GUGGGGAAUUUUGGACAAUGGGCGCAAGCCUGAUCCAGCAAUGCCGCGUGCAGGAAGAAGGCCUUCGGGUUGUAAACUGCUUUUGUACGGAACGAAACGGUCCGGGUUAAUACCCUGGGCUAAUGACGGUACCGUAAGAAUAAGCACCGGCUAACUACGUGCCAGCAGCCGCGGUAAUACGUAGGGUGCAAGCGUUAAUCGGAAUUACUGGGCGUAAAGCGUGCGCAGGCGGUUUUGUAAGACAGGCGUGAAAUCCCCGGGCUCAACCUGGGAAUUGCGCUUGUGACUGCAAGGCUGGAGUGCGGCAGAAGGGGAUGGAAUUCCGCGUGUAGCAGUGAAAUGCGUAGAUAUGCGGAGGAACACCGAUGGCGAAGGCAAUCCCCUGGGCCUGCACUGACGCUCAUGCACGAAAGCGUGGGGAGCAAACAGGAUUAGAAACCCGUGUAGUCC
rnacentral:rRNA from 1 species